rnacentral:tRNA from 2 species
GGCCCCAUGGUCUAAAGGUUAGGACAUCACCCUUUCACGGUGGUAAUAUGGGUUCGAAUCCCGUUGGGGUCACCA